CCUGAAACAGAAAGAAAAAUGUGUUGGGAGGGUAACUUUGGAAAUCCCAUACAGUACUGUUACUGUGCCCCUGUGGGACUGGUAGACUCAGCAGACUUGUGGGCAGUAGGUGAGGACCAGGCUGGGUGCAGUCCAGCACUGGAGACCGAGGCAGGAGGAUCAGCUGGGGUUCCAGGCCAGACAGGGCUAGAGAGAGAUGCUGUCUGAAGGAAAUGAAGCAAGAGGUCCAGCUAGACGGUUCAGUGGGUAGACAUUGUUAGUGACCCAAGUUCAAUCCUGGGGAUUCAUCGUAGAGAACAGAUUCAUGCAAGAUGGCCUCUCACCUUCGUAUCUCCCUCCUUUCCCUGGAGUUUUAACAAAUGCCUGUGUGUUUUGCUUUGUGGCAAAGCUGUGGUUGGUCCUGGAUUAUUUUUUUAUCUGGUUCUCCCGCUGAGUACUGCCAGCCUAGGUUCUGGAGUUUGCCAGCCACGCUCUGUGGUGCUCCCUGGGAUACUCUGUAAGGCCCCUUUUUUCUGUCAUUCAUUUUAUAUUCUCUAACUCCCGUAUUUUCUUGCCGUCUUACUGACAGAAUAGACUCAUAAUACAGAAGAGAUAUGCCUAUCAGUUCUGUACAGAGAAAUGCUUAUGUUGUAUCAAUGCCUACACGUUUUAAGGGUCAAAUAUAAUCACCAUGUACAUGUAGAGCUUGGAAAGGCACCAGGGAGAAAGCAAGCUGUGCACAGCUUUCCAGAGCAUCGGUGUACUGUGCUAUUACUCGGCUUUUCUGUCUCUCCCAAUUGUUGCAAAUGUGGAAUCCUGGCACAUCACCACCUACUUCCUGUAGAGAGCUGUAGGAAUGCUUUAGUGUUGCACACACAGUGACCACUUCCUUUUUCCCAUCUCCUGGCAGCAGCAUUCUGAGUCGCAGCAUUUAUCUAACAGAGAUAACAACUAAAACCCCUCUAGGGAAUUCUCACUUCUUGCUUCCUCUGCUUCCUGGUGUUUGCCUAUUUAGUGCCAGCAGGGACCCACAUACGCUGUGAUGUUCAAGUAAAGGGAUUCCAUCUCUAGGUAGGGGAUGCCUUUAACCUCAUAGGCAUGGAGAUCUCUCAAGUUCCUGGCCAGUCAGAGAACUACAUUUUUAGACACAAAGAACCACUCUCCCUAGAAGUGGGACUCUGGGGCAGAAGGUGCCAUCACCUUUUAGGUGACAGCAACAGUAGUUCCUUUGUGAGCCUUUUACUGGCCCUACUUACUGCUCCACAGUCAAAUCUGUCCCUGCACCGAGGCCUGGGUAGCUCCGUCCCUUACACAGGUGCCAACAUAGCUUUCGCCAACCUCUCAAUUUCCAGUCUUCAGCCACUUUGCCGAGUAGCAAAGUGAAAAUGAUUCUUUCUGUGGCUCAUUGUGUCUUUUCAUAUUUUUCCUAUCCUUAGAUAGGUCUCAAUCUUUCUAAUGCUAUGACCCUUUCAUGUUGCGGUGACCCCCAACCAGAAAAUUAUUUUGUUGCUAUGUCAUAACUAUAAUUUUGCUACUGUUAUAAAUAUUUACUGUGACCUGGCUAAGAGGGUUGUUGGACCUCCAAAAGGAUUGAGCCCAACAGGUUGAGAACAAUGCCUUGGAAUUGACUCUGUCUCAGGCGUUUUUUCCCUCUCUUUUCUCACUCCUUACCCCCACACUCCAGCAUUUAUAAACUCUUGUCUUUGAAAACUCAACCUUUUCUAGGCCCCUCAGUUCUGAAGGGCUUUGUAAUAAGUCCAUGUAGAACUUUUAGAUGAGUUAUCUUGAAUGUUAUUUUCUUCCCUAAAAUGAUCCUUAAUCCCAGAUGGAGGUUACAGCAAAAUGUUCCUUCAUUGAGACACUUGGGCCCCUCUUAACAAUGCUGUAGUCUGCCAGACAGGGGACUGCAUCUGGAGGUCUAGCCUGGGCUCUACAUAACCAGUUCAGAUGCACCCUCUUUAGGAGGCUGAUCCCUGAGGGUAGGGUAAGCAAGCCCCUCGUUCUCCACACACGCUUCCUUUCCCUGCAUCUCUUAACAGGAUCUUUUGAGGCUGGGAUAAAGGAGACGUGCAGAGACUAGUUCACUGAGCUUUCUAGAACCUACCAUGGAGAUGUGAUUCUCACAUGGGAAAAGAAUGUAUCCACACUGCCAUCUAUGUCCCAGACUGAACACAAGGUCAAAAUGGAGCUAUUUCAGUCUCUGUAAACAAGAGCUUUAGCUAGGAAUGGAGUUCAAACCUUGGAAUGUGUUAACAAGGACAUUUAAACAGAAUCCAAAGACAUCCGGGAACACAAAGCACCACAGAGAGGGACAGCAGGCUGGGGUGACUAGGGGCAGAUUCUUUUCAGAGUCUUUUGGGAAAGGGGGCCCAAGAUCAGCAUGUAAAUGAUCUCCAAAACCCAGAGUAAACAGAUGGCAACAUGGCUCUGCAAAAGCCAGCCAGACACCUGCUCACAAGCAGCUCCUGAAGGUUGUUCUGCUUCAAGAACAGGUUAAUGAAUGUGGUGGUUGGGGGUCACCACAGCAUGAGCAAGUCUAUUAAAUAAGGCUGAGAACCACUGUCUUAUAAAGUACAUACAAUCCUAAAACAUCUGACUUCACCUGGUUUUGAUGUGUGAGCUCACUAGGGCACUUUGCUGACUGACGGCUGGAGGAUGUAGCAAGAGAACUGUCUGGGCUUCUACAUGGCUAAGCCACACUGCUGGCCAGGACCAGGCACCACAGAAGGAAUGAAAUUCACCUCCUUAUUUAGGCUACAGCAUGAAGUGUCCCUGGCAUUCUGCUAUCCACAGCCAAUUUCUGCAAAGUCAUGAGAAGCUGCCAUAUGAGGUAGCAGAGGGCAGGCGUCUGUCUGUUCAUUAUAUUCAUGUAAAGCCUCCUGCUGAGGGCCAGGCUGGGACACACCUGUAAGUUCAGCACUUGGAAGGCUGAGGGAUGGAGGAAGAUCCCAAGUUCCAUGCUGGCCUGGGCUGUACAGUGAGAAUCUGCCUUCCCAACCACACUAAACUGAAACUAACUGAGGCAGUGACAGCUACCGGCGGAAAGACGGGCUGUCAACUUACCAGCCGGAAAAGCACUGCCAGAGAGGAGCCCCGAGAGAGUCCCACAGUCACACUCAUCCUGAUUUCAGAAGACCCUCAUAAAAACAUCCCCUGGUAGAGAAAUGGCUUCACUAUACUUCAUGUAAUUGUUCAGAUAAGAAAGGAACAUAUACAUUAUGUCUCAGAUUUCCAACAAACUUCUAAUUUCAAACCGAAGGCUUGGGAAGUGAAAGCGAGGAAAAUACUUCAUUUACGUAUGAGAUUCCCCAUAGGUCAUGAUGCCAGCCUUACUUGAGAAGGUCAUGGUGUGACUUAUUGUCAGUCGUGGGGGUGGGGGAACACAGAACUUUUCCAGUGCUAGAGAGGCUGAGGCAGGAAAAUCAAGAUUAAGGCUAGUCUGGGCUACAUAGUAAGAUACUGUUUCAAAACAAAAGCACCCACCAAUAAACCCAAGAAACAGAACUACCUAUUAUUAACAUUCUGGCGGACCUUAAGUGGUUUGUGGCUGUGGAAGGGCCUGCCGGAUAACUGGAAAGGGUUGUAUGCAGGCACCAUGGGCCCUUGCAGAGGCUGUGUUUCCAGGAGAUACUGGUGCCCAUCCUGCCCACACUGGUUGCCACCUGACUUUGGCACUCACCAGCAAGCUCCAGUUUUGCAGAACAGCUGGAUGACAGUCGCCACCAGUGAAGACCGCAUUAAUACCCACAAGACAGAUUGCAGCCGCCAUCACACACCCGAGACCUGGGUGGACAGAGAGAUCUGUUAACUGCAUAUGGUAACCUUUUCCAUGGGUCUCAUGCUGCCCUGGAUCAAGCUGACCAGUCUGCACUGCUGGGGCAAGGAGCUGAGCGUAGCUGUCACUGCACAAGGACCUUGCAAGCAGCACAGAAUGCUUGCAGACAGGAAAGUGAUCUUGGGACUUAGAAAAAUAUGAGAAGGCCACUGGGACAGAGGUGUGGGCACAGAAAAGUUGCUGGGGUAAGAGCCGUCGUACCUGAGGUUAUCUGUCUAGCCUGUGGGGAUGCUGCCCCUGGAGUUACAGUGUGGGAAUUCUACGGCCCCUGCUAGACCCCAAAGCCUGCCAACCAGAUCAUGAGAUUUUAAGUCCACACAGACUUAAGACAGUCACCAGUUCCAGGGGCUGCCUCAGACCUAACAGCUUCAGACAGCGCGAGAGCCCUGUCAUUAAGGUCUGCUAUGAGCAGGAAGCACAUCUGACUGUCUUGGAGUGCCCAAGGUGCUAAGAGUCGUGAAACAAAUGUUACUGGCUGUCUCAUCUUUAAUAUACUUGGCAACUUGGCUGGCCCAGCUGGGUUCUCCAAAAUUCCGCAUGCCAAGAACGGAGUCCAGCUCCAUGAGUAUGACCAGCGAAGAUCCUACUGGAGUGCUGUUUCCACAUGCUCACUGAUACCUUCUAGACUCAGGCUGUUUCUAGCUCAGAGGGCUUCCUGUCUGGUGCUCUGGAAUUCCAUGUGAUGGGAGUGCACGUGGAAUCUGUUCUUUCUAGAAUUAGGGGUGAGUCUGUAGGACAGGCUGCCUAUCUUAUUAGAAUAAAUGGGAAAGAUUUCACUACAGAAACAUUCAAGGAGUAGGUAAGAUUCUGGUUUCCUAGUAGAAGCUAGGUUAUUUGAGGAGAGAAAAAUACCUGAUUUCUCCCUCACCUUUGUCACACCCUCCACAGUGACCAAGGGUGCCCCCCAAAGACUUGCUAAAGUAGCAGGCCCAUGGGGCCUCCUGAGGUUGCCAAGCUGCCCUGAGUUUUGUGAAUGCCCACUGUUGCUGAAGUCACACUGGUGGCUGACUCCCUCAUGACUUCUGGAUUAUGCUAAGCAGGAGGACUAACCCUGGCCCUAUGUUCAUCAGAACAUGGGGCUUGGCCAGCAAGCUGUGCACACCAGGGCUCACGGGUGGCGGGGGGCAAAAGAAAGUCAUCACAGACAGUAAAGUGAUGAUCACCAGCCAAGCAGUGUCCCAGAAGGUUCAUUUUCCAUAUCUUGCUGAAAACCCCCUGCACACCCUCCAAAACUCAGAAGAGGCACAGGAACCGGAGGGUGGGGCAGAGGCUGGUUGGGUAUCCCGCUCUCAGCAUAUAGUCUAACACAUGGCCACCAUCUUCAAACUUAGAGGGACAGCAAUACAUGGAACAGGUCAAGGGACAGGCUGCAGCUUUUGUGUACGUGUCUAUCAGGGAGCCUGGUAGUCAUGGUGGGAGCAAAAGUGCUGGGCUUCAGAUUACAGGGUUUAGGAAUCUGGGACUGCAGUAUCUGGCAGGACAGAGGUUUGCAGCCUUGUAACAUACAUGUAACCACAACAGACCUAGGCUAGCAGCAGUAAGAGCCAGACCCCUGUGUACCUGUUGAGAUGACAAGGAGGAGUCUCUCAGAAGACUUUCCCUGAGGCCACAGGUCACUGUCCAGGCCCAUCUACUUUUUUUUUUUUUUUGGUUUUGGUUCUGGUUUUUCAAGACAGGGUUUCUCUGUAUAUUCCUGGCUGCCCUGGAACUUGCUCUGUAAACCAGGCUGGCCUCAAACUCAAGAGACCAAGACUUCCACCCUCACCCCUGGGUGCUGGGAUUAAAGGUAUGCACCACCACUGCCCGGCUCCAUCUACUUUGAUUUAGCCACGGGAGAGGCGAUAGGAUUGGAGUAGUUGCAUUUCUGGUACAGAGGGGUCUGCUGGGCAGGAUUUGGACGGCUUGGCAGACCUGCUUCCUACAUGGAGCCUCACAAGCUGUUGCACCCCAGCAAUUGACCUCCUAUUCCUACCAGACCUCACGGUCCCCACCACACUGGGGUCUAUUUGACCUAUUGUGCCCAUUUUACUACUCCAUCCCCCUCCUUAGCACGCUGCAGGUGUUCACUGAAUAUUUACUGCGGUAAGUAGAAGUACAAAGGGAAGGUCAGUCACAAGGACAGCUCUAUAGUCCUGGCUUCUGGGUACACUGCAAUGUGGAGCACAGCACUGGGUGUCUCCUGAGGGGGAGAGCAGGGAGAUUGCUACACAUCAGCCUGCAUGAAGACCCAGCUGCAAAGACAAGGACGGACUAGGCUGUUCCCCCCAAACAAGAUGUAGUUUGCAUAAACUGCUACAAGUUCCAGCUAUUUUAUCUCCCACUGUUCUCUCCGCUUUGCUAAGGCUGUAACAACACGUGCUUACAAUUCUACGCCAUGGUCCUGGUCAAAGGCCAGAAACUUCACAAGUUCCUAAGAAUAUUAUCUCAUCCCACACCAAUUCCCAAGCUCUCAAAUAAUUGUUUAACUAUAUUUGGAUAUCCAACGAGGAAAGCCAUCACUUCUACUUGCAAGGCACAACAGAAAACUUAUUCAUGCUCUCUUGUUCUUGAUGGAGCUGGGAAACUGGUAAUUUUCAAAACGUUAGUUUGUCUCCCAAACAUUAUCAUAGUUCUCUGUCACAUGGCUGGACCAUCACCAACACUAGUGAUGGGGUGAUUGAACAUGUAGACAGACUAAACUCAACUACCUACUACACGCCAAGUGGACAUCAGCACCCUUGGCCCCUCUUCCAAAGGUCUUCCGCACGCCACCGAUGAGAGCAAACCCACAGACCCUUCUCCACAGGCUGAGCCCAGGGCACCCUGAGCAGUUGUUCUGUGCAAUACUGUGUCCACGAGGCUCCCACGAGAAUGCAGGUACAGCCCACACUUACACAAAGAGUAAAGAGAUGUCUAGUUUAGUCAUUUAUUACACGCGAGCACCAAAGAGUUAAAAGCGGACAAACUAGAGAUCUCACAGGCUGCCAGGCAUGCAUGGCACACUGUACGCCUAUAAGUCCAACACUUGAGAGCCAGAGGCAAGAUGAUCUCAGGUCUCAGACCAGCCUGCUACAUGAGACGUCUCAGAGAGCCUAACACAGACACCCGAAGGCCUCUUCUGCAGCAGGCCAAGAGCUGUCCAGAAUUUGAAGGACAGCAUUCAACCCUCUGUAACAUCAGGGGUGAUGGUAUGCUGUUUGGUACUGACAUCCCUAUUGCCUCCUGUGGUAGGGAGUUGGCCACCUGGCCAGCACUAGCCUUUCUGAUGUGCUUUCGUCUGUGUUUCUAUUAGCUCAUCAACACCAGUGUUUCCAACUCUGUUACACAUUCUGCAAGAUUACACAGCUUGGGUUAUUAGCUGACUUGGGAAGGACUUUAUCCAAGACUCUGGAAGGAGCUGGAAUGAUGGCUAUACGUGUCUAGCUCCACACGACAGUACUGGGCACCGCUCCCCAAGUUUCUUCCAGACUAUCCCCACCGGACACAUACCCCAAGAGUUCACACACCAGCCAAGCUCUGGCCCGUGGCCAGAGCUGAGAAGUCAGCUCAGAAGAGACGACUUGUUUUCAAUAGAUGCCACACUGUUUGGUUCGGGUCUUUCUAGGGCUUUUAGAAUCUGUGUGUCGAUGGCACCCUGUUUUGGAAGCUGCUGCCACCACCACUGGCCCUCUGACUGCUACUUUUUUUUUUUUUUUUUUUUGGGUUCUUUUUUUCGGAGCUGGGGACCAAACCCAGGGCCUUGCGCUUCCUAGCCUCUACCACUGAGCUAAAUCCCCAACCCCGACUGACAGCUACUUUAAUGGGUCUGUGAGAAAUAAGGAUUUGGGGGAAAACAUGGCCAUGCUAGUACAAAGCAUGUGGUCUUUUAAACUGGAACCCAUACACACAAAGACUUAUUUCUUCCUUUAAGCUUAUAUAAACAGCAAAAUAAACCAAAGAGAAGCCCUACCUUAGACUUUGUGUCAUCAUCACUGGCUGACUUGUCCACCAGCUGAACGCAGUGUUCUCAGAGCGCCUACCACUGUGGACAGAAGCCACGUGGCUCUCCUGCCACGCCGAGUACACUAUAUGGAUUCCAGCUGGAUGUUCCUAACAGGACCCAAGCCUGCUCCUCCGCCUGCUCGUCUCCCUUCCUCAUUCAUAAAACACUAAGCAAGAAGCUCCUGGGACUGGAUCACUUAGAAAACGUCAUUUUAGUCAGAAUUCCCAUCAAGUUACAUACAGUUCAGAAUUAGGGUGCCUCCUGCUUAGUCAGAAAUUCAGUCAAGGUGCUAAACUACAGAAGGCAGUGUGGGUUUUCUCUUUGAAUUGACAAGAGACAAUUCACCUGACUGUUGUCUGAACUGCAGGUAGGCCUAACCCGGCACAAAGAUGCUACUGUAGGACACCGCUUUUAACCACACUUAGGGGCAGGUCUUAUGACCAAGAUGGCCAACAAGAAACAAACUCAAUGGCAUUUGUGUUGACAUUUUUGUGUCAUAUUGCUUUGUUUGGGUGUUUGUUUUAAUGGAUGGUCCUUUGUAUAUUAUAGUUUUCAUUUUUUUUUUUUUAAUGACAGGAUUUGUGUCUGUGUUUCUUGUGUCUUUUUUAAAUUCUAGUUUGGUUUCUAUUCAUUUUCGAUUAGGAGGGUGGGGAGGUAGGAAGGGGAACCUAUGAACAGAAAUAUAUUUGGAAAAAAUUCAAGUUCAAUAAACGGAAAAGGGAACAUAUAUAUAUAUAUACAUACAUAUACAUAUACAUAUAUAUAUAUAUAUAUAUACAUAUAUAUAUAUAUGAAUAAAGUGAGGGCUGGAGAGAUGGCUCCGUGGGUAAGAGCACUUGUUGCUCUUGUCCAGGACCUGAGUUUGGUCCCAGAACACACAUGGUGGCUCACAACCACCUAUAGCUCCAGUUCCAAGGAAUCCAACACCCGCUUUUGGGCUUUUACUAUAUGCAUGUAGUGUGCAUGCAUGUGUGUAGGCAACACCAGGACCUCAUACAUGUAAGGAACAAAUUAAAAAAAUGAAAAAUCAUUUUUGUGGGUUUUCCUGUCUUAAAGCAGGCCUUGGCAUCAGCACCUCUGCCUUCUGUACAAAAACUUCUGUAUUUGAGUGCAUGAUGGGUCCUGAUGUAGACGUUGGAGGAUGUUAGGAGCAGGAGAAGCACAACCGAGUUCUCAAACCCCCGGAUGCCUGGUCCACAGGCCCCAGCACUGCUGCUGACACAUGGAACUGAGUCCCCCAGUGAGACUCAAGCCAGGCUGGGCCUGCUCCUCACGUUCCCACACGAAUGCAGGAGAUAUGCCCACGUUCUUCCUGCAUGGAGGAAACUGCGGAUUACAGACAUCCAUCAAGAAUGGGCUAGGUGUGCAGACCGACCUUCCCCUAGGGUACUUACACAGCCUCAGCAGAACUGCCGGGACUUCCAGCCCUGGGAAGUAGCCUCGGAGGGAGGGAGCCAGCGCAUCUGAAAAGACAGGAAAAGCUGUGAGCCAGAGGUCCCCACCUCAUUCUGGGUCUUCAGACCCCCUCGUUGCUCCAAGAUGGGUCAAGUCACAAUGGCCCAGUGGCAUUUUCUGCCCAGGGUAAAGAAGUCCUACAGUAGCACCCUCAAUCUGUAUGUGCCCUAUGAACUCCAGCCAAACUCACUGGGCAGCCCAUUCCGGCCAAUAUUGACGCUCUGCCAAUUCCCCUUCCUUUUCAGAGGUCACAGCCAUUAGAGGCCAUUAUAGAUUCUCCUCUCUGUACUCCCCAAGCUGGGGAGACUAAGUUAAAAUAUAAACAAAGGGAGGGGCAAUUCAUGACCCCUCUUGAGGCUGGCCUGGCUGGAAUUGAACUUGGGUCAGCUUCCUGGUAUAUUGUACCACGCUAAGCAAAAGCUGAACAACAGAGGGCAAGCACAUUUCAUUCUCAAACACCCAUCCACUGACAAUGCCAGUUUUCUCUAUAACCUGUUGGGCAGAAGAAGGCAUGCUUACCAAUGGCCGACCCACCAUUCUUUUUUACUUUUUGAGACAGGGUCUCCCGUAGCCCAGGCUAGCCUCUUACUCAUGAACUCCUGUUCCUUGUCUCUACUUCCAAAGAGCCUGGCUUACCAGGCUAACUCCUCCCACUGAGCAUGAAGAGCAACACAGAAAAUGCUCCUGGGGGCAAGGACUAUGUAAAUGACAGCAAAGCUUGGGAAGUAGGGGAGGGACCUUAACAGGAAGGUUUACAGAGGUUCCUUAAACAUCAAGAGGAAUGAAGCAGGAGCCACUCUGGCUGUGGUUGGGGGUACAACUGGGCCAGAGGCAACUUGCAGAAACCCUAUGAAGAUUCGGAACUGGGGGGGCUAGUGGAAAACUUCCCCUUUCUCUCUUUCACAAGGGUGGGAAACAAGCUGCCCCAGAAUCCACCUCAGAAGGCAGAACCAGGGUCCAUUAGGUCCUGCUAACUACCUGGUCCUAAAGGCUGAGAAGCCGAGGAAUUGGGUCCUAGGGAGAAGCUCAUUUUUGCCCCAGUCCCUAAGCACUCCCUGUGGUUUCCUUCUGACUCAAAGACCCCAGGAAGAGGCACACUGGGGAACUCCACUCCAACUGGGCUAGAGUUCUGGUCUGCGCUGCCACACAUGUAGCCCUGAAGAAACCAAGGCAAACUCUGAGGAGAAGUGUCCACUUCUGCUACAUCAGAAUCUACCUCAGGUAUCCCUUGGGGCAUCUUAUACACCUCGAGGACGUCAGAUGUUAUUUCCAGAGGCUCAGAACCUGUGAGGGUAAAGCCAUUGCCUGGGAGUCAUCGGAGCCUCGAGAGAGCCCUAGGCACCUCUCCUAUCACUCACAGCAGGAGGAACUGAGUGACCCGACACUUAUCCUUGGAGACAGCCUAAAUACCCCACACCGAUUGUCUGUAAAGCAGUAAGACUCACAAACAGACAGACGAACAGACAGACAAGAGGGGAUGAUGUGGAGAGAGGUGGGUUAGGAAGGCAGGAGGGUGGAAAGUCCGAAGGCAGAAGAGACAAGUACCUACCCUUGGCUCAGGAUUCUCCUCAGUCCGUUUGCUCACUAAGCAGAGAGCACAGCUGGAGCUGCCUUCCUGAGACAGCUGGGGAAGGGCAGCCUCGGGGCCAGAGCCCUCCGGCAAGGGACGCUGGGGACCUAAACCCAAAAUGGUCCAUGUGCACUGGGUCAGUGUGGAGCAGUGGUGGUGGUUGUGCGGCCUGGGUGUGGGGUGGGGAUGUAAGGCCCCGAGUCCAACAUGGAGUAGUGGUCACCAAGGGGGUCACAGGGAGGGGCUGGCAGGGAGGACAGUGAGCUGCAGGGGAGACAGCAUGGGUCUGAGACUGGUGAAGGUGACUGAGAAAAAGAGGCCUCCUUGCUGUCUGCCACUCUCUUGAUCCAGUGCUCCCCACCCUCCAUUGAGAGCAAGUGACACACACACACACACACACACACACACACACACACACACACACACACACCCCCUUCCUCCCUCUCUCUCAAUCACGAAUGGAGGAUGGAGAAAAGAUGAACUCCCAAAUCUGCCUUCCAAGACAUCGUGGCUCUUGCUGCUUUCAGACACCAGAGGCACCCACCUUCCAGCGGGGGGGCAGUGGAUGCCAGGUCAAACUGGGCACCUUCCUGUUCUUGCACCCACAGAGGGGCAGAGUCCAAGGGGCAUAGCCAGGAAUGCAGGCAGCUGGCCCAGGAGAACAAGCUGUUUUGUGCUAAUCACGGCUGUUUGGAGGAUGGCAAGGAGAGGCUUCACCUUUCCUCCCAUUUAGGCUGUUUGUUCUGCUGUAACUUUGGCCCAGGUCAACUCCCGUCCAUGCCCUGGAGGCUUCCUGAUUUCUCAUUAUCACUGCCUGCAGGGGCCACAGGCUUCCCCAGACUUGCUCAAACUCAACUCUUCAGAAACAGUUGAGGACAUACAUUGUAGCCAUGGAAGAGAAGCUGGCUUACUUAACAGUCAUCCUGGUGAUUUCCGCACUAUCAACAGAACACACACACACACACACACACACACACACACACACACACACACACACACACACACACACACACACACCACUCUUACAUGCCUACAUACAAUUCCAGGGGUUUGAGGCUUCCAUGAGAACUUCUAACGAAAUACUUAGCUCACACAAACCCUGUCUUAGUUUGCGCCAGGCAGAGACAGUGUCAGGUGAACCAGGCUGAGAAGCCUAGAGGCCUGGAAGAUUUCUGAGUAACAGUGAUUCAGUUCACUGCUUGGUGCCACACUGUGUGGCCUCUACCAUCACACUCUACUUCUCAUCCCAAGGUGACUUUGUCAGACUCCAAUAUCCCAAAGUGGUGACAGACCAGAUAGGAAGAGCGUAGAGAUAGGAGAUACCCGGGGAGUAAAUAAUCGGAAGGGAAAAAGAAAUCACGCCAGAGAUAGUAAAUUCUCCCAAGAUAUGGAACAGAACGGGACACCUAAGCACCACACAGAAUUUAUGGUUCCCAUGGUGAGGCCAAGGACAGAAAGGCCCGAUGCCUCCAGGGUGGGACUCAAUGCACCAUCCCUGGCACAUCUGUGCACCGAGCUACACAGGGCAGGGCAGGUCUAACGGUCACUGGCUCCGACUGUCCUCUCUUUAGUGACGGAGUCUAUUAUCACUGUCCUCUUUAGAUUCUAACAGCCAUGAGGAAGGCUGCCGGGCACACCGAUCAGUAGUGAGCAGACAUCUUUGGUGGCUUUUUCCUCUGGUCCACCAGGCUCACUUAGCUUGGCCUUUCAGAAAUGUGGUCAUUCUAGGGCUAGGGUCAUCUAAAACAAUCAGACGCUGUUUAUUUCAUGAAUUCGUCUCUCUCUCUCUCUCUCUCUCUCUCUCUCUCUCUCUCUCUGUGUGUGUGUGUGUGUGUGUGUGGGGGCAGCCUGGGUGAGUGGGCGGGCUCCUGGUUCCACCACCAGGCCUCGUGGCAAGGACUCUUGCUUGCUGACUGACCCAUCUCACUUGCAUUUGAAGUGCUCACCCAGAUGUGAGGUAGUACUCUUGACUUAGAUCUUCAAAAGUGUGCCGGGAACAAUACUUAUCUAGAAAGGCUCUCCAACCCAGAAAGUUUCGAGAGCAACACACAGUGUCUUCAGGUUGACUGACACAAAGCAGUGUGUGAAAGGUUUGGCCGAGAUACGGAGGGACUUGUUCCGUUACUCCUUGGGCAUCCCAAGGUCAUCUGACUGCAAAACUGUUUGAUUCUCUGCCAGCUACUGAUACCCAUAGAGCUGGGAGAAGCCAGUGUGGGGCCCGGUCAGUGGUAAAGAGGUGGAUCUAGGUGGCUGAGGUGUGAACAAUGUGUCAUCCAAACUUCCUGGUCUAUUCGCUGCGGAACAGACCCCACUCCCUUUGACUGAUACCCCGAAUUCCAUUCCUGGUCCACAGUGUAAGUUCAUCAUCAUCUUACUCAUCCUAGCACCUGCAGAAGAACCAAGUGAGAACUUCUUGGCUAUAGCCAAAAGCUGGCUUAUACUAUAAUCCCAGCACUGGAGAGGCUGAAGCAGGAGGAUUACUGUGACUGAGGCUAGCCUUGAAGGCAUGGCAAGCACUAUCUCAAAAUACCAAGAAGACGCAGCUGGAGAAGGCUGGUUCUUCAAAGAUACCAGGAUGACAGUACGUUGGUCACUGGCUUGUGAACCUCACAAUGGAGGUCCUAGGACCACAAGUCCCCUCUUCAAAGACCAAUCACGCCCCGGGGACCAAGAACAAGCUAAGCCCUUGGGGCUCUCUUUCCUGAGUCUCGGUCUUUCUGGCUAUUCUGAACACAAGUUUGGUUCCUGUUUCCAGAGAGGUGUGUGAAAUGUGCUUCCACAUCUCCGAGUUCACUGAGACGCCACUCGGUUGAGGGCAUCCGAGUGUGUAACACCCUGCGUCAGAUUCAGUCCAUAGUGGCAGCUUACCAUCCGCAUUUAAUCAUGUCAGCUUGUUAAUUUUUAACUAUGUUUGCUAGCAAGGGCCAUUAGAGAUCCCUGGGCGCUGAGCUCAGUGAAGCGAGCAGGGCUCGUGCACAAUGUAUGAAGCUUAAAGUUGGGGUGUCCCAUUUUCCUAUCCUGUCACUGGGCUCUGGCCAUCCACACUGGCAGCACAAACUCUGAAUAAAAUAUGAUGCCAUUUGGAGUCAAUUUUCCUUUUGCUCCCGUCAAAACUUAUUUUCUUCAAAGAGAAAAGUUCACUUUCUCCUUUUAUGAAGCUGGUGCUCGAUAAUUACAAAGUUUCAUUGCGGCUCUGGGUUGGUUUCCAAAACUCCAAAGUCACUUACUGAAUGUACCUAGGAGCUUGUGCCUCGGGGAGCAAUCCAUGGUGGAACCCCAAAUGUCACAAAUUGGGGACUUGGGAGCCUUGCCUCAAGAAGCAACUAGAACCUACAAUGGACCACAUGGUGCCUCUCUUGUUCACACCACAAGCUCCGGGCGGUCGUGCCCACUCUUUCUGUGACCCCCACAACCAAGCACAAAGGCUUCACUCACCAGGUCCUACUCUGCAGAUUCCUCCCGCUCACCGAGGUACUUGGGAGCCUCUAGUAACACCAGGCUACGUUCUGACAAAGGCAAGGUGUGGAGAGGCUCUUUAGUGAGUUCUGAAUGCCACACAUAUUUGCAUUCAUCCUCUCAAAUUAACGGUCUGUGACAGAUGUUCAUUCCUCUGUUUAUACAGAAAGAAAUGGAGGCCCAGGAGGAUGAAAGAAACUUGCCUAAAAUGUCAAAUUUAACAGACUGGGUAGCAACCAUCAUUAAAGAAGAAUCCUGUUCGCCGGGUGAGCUAAAUGGUUCAGCAAACAGAGCACUGGCCGUGAAAGCCAGAAAACCCAAGUUCAAACCCUGGAGCUCACAGGAAGGUGGAGAGAGAGAGAACUGACUCCACCAAGCUGUCCUCUGACCUCAGGUGUGCAGUACAGAUGUCCAAACACACAAUCACAGACACACACAAGUGGUGGUGUGCCUGCAAUCCCCACACUCGGGAGGCCUCUACAGCAGAAGGAUCAUAAAUUUGAGGAUGGCCUGGGCCAGAGUAAGACCUUGUCUCAAGAACCAAACAAUAAAAUUACUGUUGAUUUUCUUUUUGGGAAACUUGUGAACUUGAAGCAGUGACCUUCCUACUUCUAGGUCCUGAAUGCUGGUGUCACAGCCAUGACCUUAGCUCAGAGAUGUUGACAGUGACGACAAGGUCACUGACAGCAGCAGAGUCCCUGGGCUUGAAUCACAGCUCUGAAGGGUAACGUUCCAAGGUGCCAGACAUGCCUGGAGCCAGGAGACAGAACCCACAGGCCUUUCUGUGUGGAUCUCUAGGCACCAUGCUGUUCUCUGGGGUUCCCAGUGUCCUGGUAUUGGCUGUGGGGGGAAUCAUGUUAGAGGUGGCACUAGCAGUUGAGGAAGACACUGCGGGGUGCUGCUGUCCCAGGGCAGCAGUGAGACACCUGUCACCUGAUAACGCAUCUCUCCCUGCCUGUCACUUUUCCGGUCUUUGGCUUUGGUCUCAGGGCUCGGCAGGCAGGAGAGGUUUUUGCUACUGCUGUCUUGUGGGAAGCUUGGGCUGAGUCCCUUUCUGUGCAGAAAAUUCAAACAUUCCUUAAAAAAGUCACCUUGAAGUGCUAAACUUGGGUAGGGGGGGUAGAGAGGGGAUGGGGUGGGGGGUGAUAGAGAAGAGGGGACGGUUUGUAAAACACAACUCGGGUGAAAUGCUCUUCUAGAAUGCUCUAUCCCUAGUACUGGGGGGAAAAAAAGCAGCAUAAAAACCCAAACAGCAAGUCACUCCGAUGUAUCAGACAUUACUAAUGCUUUAUAACCAAGACUCUUAGCCCCACCAUCUUGAAGCUCUGAGAUGUUUAGAGCUGAGAUUGCACAGCUGUCACAGGGUCCUGCACCACUCACUGCCUAAAGGAGGGCCUCAGGCAGAAAAGGGAUUUCGACCUGAACAGCCGAGUCGAGCAAUACCUUCUCCUAUAACCCCAACCUCUACCACAGACUGCUGGACUUCCCACUCCAGAAAGCCUGCUGGGCGCAGAAGAGUGGCAUUUUGUGGGGGUGCUCUCCCCAACACGGCCUUACAGAGCUGCAAGGUCGGGGGAGAAGUUGAAAGCGAAAAGCGCCCCGGCCACCGUUCAGCAAAGCCUGGACUUCCCUCAGCCCCUCAGGGACAGCAAGUGUUCAAGGACAAGCUAGGGCUAUGAGAUGAUCUGUGGGUCAUAGCAGUACACACCCCAAGUUCCCAGGGCCUACCCUGACCUCUGAGAAAGGCUAUUACUAAGGUAUUUAAACUCCUGCUGGGGGUCAGAAGGCCCAGUUUAGCCAACACAACACAACUUGCUACUGCUGAGCUAGAGAGAGUGUGAAACCUUGGCCAAACCAUGUUGAUUGUCACCAGGUACCAGAUGGUCUCCCAGGGUCCUCAUCCCUGUCCAUAAACCCUUGUGCUCUGAGGCACACCUUGGGUGUCCAAGCCUGAAGUCUAUGUCUCGUUCUCUGUUCUCCACAGGGCAGUGGUUACUGACAGCAAGAUGAUUAUUAAAACAAACAAAAUCUUAA